UACGUAGGUGGCAAGCGUUGUCCGGAUUUACUGGGCGUAAAGAGCGCGCAGGCGGUCGUUCAAGUCGCGUGUGAAAGCCCCCGGCUCAACUGGGGAGGGUCACGCGAUACUGAUCGACUCGAAGGCAGGAGAGGGUAGUGGAAUUCCCGGUGUAGUGGUGAAAUGCGUAGAGAUCCGGAGGAAUACCAGUGGCGAAGGCGGCUUGCUGGGUCUAGACUGACACUCAGACGCGAAAGCAUGGGGAGCGAACGGG
rnacentral:rRNA from 1 species